rnacentral:rRNA from 1 species
AGGAGAAGUCGUAACAAGGUUUCCGUAGGUGAACCUGCGGAAGGAUCAUUGUAGAGUUCCUUUUCGAACCGUUGUGAAAUUGUGCUAAUACUCGACGAGUACCACGUGUUUGUGCUGUUAGUGCAUGCGUUGUCUUGGCGGGUUCCCUUUUGCUGCCUUCGUGUUGCUUUAUUUGAAGUGUAACGAAGAGCAGAAAUAAGACACCGGCACAGUUUGUGCCAAGGACUGUUAUUGUUGGAGUGCAUUGCCAUUGUUUUGAUGUGCUUUGUGCUAUUCUAGCGAGCGUCUGAAUGACUCCUGGCAAUGGAUAUCUUGGCUCUCGUGUCGAUGAAGAACGUAGCGAAAUGCGACACUUGGUGUGAAUUGCAGAAUCCCGUGAACCAUCGAGUCUUUGAAUGCAAGUUGCGCACGAGGCCAUUAGGUCGAGUGCACGACUGUUUGGGCGUCAUGUAAAGCGUCAUUCCAAUCUCCCACAGGCAUCGAAUCCAGUCUGGGUGAAGGUGGAUAUGGAGAAUGACCUUCCGUGCUUUUACGGUAGGUUUAAGUGAUUGUCGUUGCCAAGGUAUAUGUGAGGCGAAUGGUGUGUCGAGUUAACACACGAUGUCUCUAGUCGCGUCCGUGAGACCUAGGCAUGAUGUGACAAAUAAUCGUAACCAUUGUCGAUGUUUGCUUUGAUAGCAAGCUUGGACCAUGACCUCAGAUCAGACGGGGCGACCCGCUGAG